GGGCGAAUGGUUUAGUGGUAUAAUACUCCCUUAGCAUGUUCUCGACUCCGAGUUCGUCGUUUGGGAGUGGUCCAGGGUUCGAUUCCCUGUUCGUCCA